GUGCAGCAGUCGCGAAAACUUCACACUGUGCGAAAGCACGAUGAGGGAAUCCCAAGUGCUUGCACGUAAGUGUAAGCUGUUUCUCUGUCUAAAACGCAGAGAGAGUAAGGGCUGGGUAAGACGGGUGCCAGCCGCCGCGGUAAUACCUGCAGCUCAAGUGGUGACCGUUAUUAUUGGGCCUAAAACGUCCGUAGCCGGUUUAAUAAAUGCCUGGGUAAAUUGUGUAGCUUAACUAUACGAAUUCCGGGUAGACUGUUAAACUUGAGACCGGGAGAAGUUAGAGGUACUCCUGGGGUAGAGGUGAAAAUUCUGUAAUCCUAGGGGGACCACCAGUGGCGAAGGCGUCUAACUAGAACGGGUCUGACGGUGAGGGACGAAGCCCUGGGGCGCAAACGGGAUUAGAUACCGGGUAGU
rnacentral:rRNA from 1 species